UACGUAGGGUGCAAGCGUUGUCCGGAAUUACUGGGCGUAAAGCGCGCGCAGGCGGUUCUGUAAGUCCUGGGUGAAAUCGCCCGGCUCAACUGGGCGGGGGCCUGGGGGACUGCGGGACUGGAGGGGCCUAGAGGCCGGUGGAACUCCCGGUGUAGCGGUGAAAUGCGUAGAGAUCGGGAAGAACACCAGUGGCGAAGGCGGCCGGCUGGGGGCGCCCUGACGCUGAGGCGCGAGAGCGUGGGGAGCGAACCGG
rnacentral:rRNA from 1 species